rnacentral:rRNA from 1 species
AGUGACAGGUGGUGCAUGGUUGUCGUCAGCUCGUGUCGUGAGAUGUUGGGUUAAGUCCCGCAACGAGCGCAACCCUUAAUUUUAGUUGCCAGCAUUUAGUUGGGCACUCUAAAGUGACUGCCGGUGCAAGCCGGAGGAAGGUGGGGAUGACGUCAAAUCAUCAUGCCCCUUAUGACCUGGGCUACACACGUGCUACAAUGGAUGGUACAAAGGGUAGCGAAGCCGCGAGGUGGAGCCAAUCCCAUAAAACCAUUCUCAGUUCGGAUUGUAGGCUGCAACUCGCCUACAUGAAGCCGGAAUCGCUAGUAAUCGUGGAUCAGCAUGCCACGGUGAAUACGUUCCCGGGCCUUGUACACACCGCCCGUCACACCACGAGAGUUUGUAACACCCGAAGUCGGUAGGGUAACCUUUAUGGAGCCAGCCGCCGAAGGUGGGACAGAUAAUUGGGGUGAAGUCGUAACAAGGUAGCCGUAUCGGAAGGUGCGGCUGGAUCACCUCCUUUCUAAGGAA